GUUGGGAUCUGCUCUAGGCACCAAGAACAGCAGGAAGAGUGGGGCGAUCCUCAGCACGUUCCUGAUCAGAAUAGCGAGCCACAUGUUGUCGAACUCUGUCCGUGUAACGUUCAAGACGUGCAGCAGGAGACCUCCCAACCACGACGAGGUGAGGAGGCCGGCAUUGUCUAUUGACAUGAGCAGGGCAAAGAAGGUGCCUUCAAUCCCAGGUGGGCACAUCUUGGAGCUCAGAACAAGAAGUGGCAUCCAUUUCAAGCGCCCGAUCAUUUGGGACACGCUUGCAUCAGCCACCACGAAGAAUAAGUCGGGCACACCGAGCCUCAAGUUCCAGCGCAGCACCAGCGCCAGAUCCAGCAUUCCGGAGAGGCAGGAUAGGAUCUGAGCCCAGAAGAGCAGAUCCCGGAAGGGAUAGUCUUUUAGGCCGUAUUGGUAUAGGAUAGCCCCGAGGAGCGAGCCCACGGAGCCUAUUGCCAUGAUAUAACCAAUUAUUUGCUGCAUAAACAUCAAAGUUCAGUAGCAUAUUGUAUAAUCUGCAGACCUAAUAUGAGGAUAUGCUGUUAAUGAGAUCAGUUCAAAUGUACCUUAGAAAACGAAGGGCCGGCUGCUGAAUCUGUCACCCAAUAGAACAUCCCCUCGGAGACAUUUAGGCCCAACGAGAAGGACAAGUACAUGUACAGACACGGCCUCCACACGUCUGGGCAUUUCAACGUAUUCCACAUAGCUUUACCAGCAUUGGCUAAGUUCUGGCUGAUCUGAUUUCAGAAACCCCAAAAUUAGUGUUCAAGUUUGAAUCUUGAUCCACCCAGUUAUGCAUUAGUACCUGUUCAUAACCAAAGCUGGAAACGCGUUGUUCCUUGAGCAAUAUACCAACUACGAAGACUAGCCCAGCUGGUAUCGUUAACAAGCCAUAUACCCCCUUCAGUUCAAAGAGUAUGUUAAUGGUUUAACACUCACAUCUUCAGUAGCUUGUAAGCUCUUUAACAAAAUGGGAGAAAGCAAGCUAACCUGGGGUCCAAUUAGGUGUACAAAUAUACCACUCAGAGAAAAUCCCACGAGAGCCCCGAUUGAGGAGCUCAAGGAACAUAAACUUUGCAUGUCAGNUUAUUUAUUUAUUUCCAGUUUAUUUAUUUUUGAAUUUUAAGUUUAUUUUUUUUAUUUUGUUUAUUUCCAGUUUAUUUAUUUUCUGAAUUUUCAGUUUAUUUAUUUAUUUUUUGUAACUUUAAGUUUAUUUAUUUUCUAAAAAAAUUAUUUCCAGUUUUUAAUUUAUUUAUUUAUUUAUUUUCGAAUUUUCAGGUUAUUUAUUUAUUAAUUUUCAAUUUAUAUAUUUUCUGAAUUUUCAGUUUAUUUAUUUAUUUAUUUAUUUAUUUUCGAAUUUUCAGUUUAUUUAUUUUCCAGUUUUUCAGUUUUUUUAAUUUAAGAGUAAAAAAAGAAAGAAAGAAAUAGCUUAUAAAAAAAAGAACACUUUAAUAAGUCAAGGCAUUAAAAGAAUGUCAAAUAGCUAAUGAAAGAUUAGUAAAAGUAAUCCAAAUAUAUUAACACUACCCUUUUAGUCAUUUACACCACUUUUACACCACCUUUUUCAGCUUUCUUAGUUUCCGUGCCGACCAUCAAAUGGGUAGUUGAUUGGUGGACGGAGGGAGUAGUAUUUAAUUUUUUAGUGAUUGCUAAGAGGUAAGGAUUUCAUUUCCAUUUAAUUAUGUCUUAUUAGAUACUCCCUCCGUCCACUAAUUGUUGGCCUACUUUCCUUUUUGGUCCGUCCACCAAAAAAUGUCCUACCCAUUUAUAGUAAGUCUUUAUAAUUUUUUAAUUGGUGGGUCCCAAUAAACAAUACACUUUUUCUCCACUCAACUAAUAAACAAUAUAUUUUGUGGGUCCCUUUCUCCACUCACUACACUUUUUCUUAAAAUCCGUGUUUUGCCUCCUAGGCCAACAAUUAGUGGACGGAGGGAGUAUUUUGUAGUAGCGCCCAUGUCUUGCUAUGGUAGAUUGUCAGGUUAUAGAAAAAAAAAUCAACUCAAACAAUUUGUAGCAGAUCGUCCACGGUGUAAUGCUGGCCGACUCCAACCAUACUGAAUUUUUAUUUUUUACACAUUUUAAUGGUUGAAAGAAUUAGAGAUAAUUAUACAAUUUCCAAACUUCUUUUUCACCUUAAGAAGUUGUACUUUAAACGUGUAAUAAAUACUUCAUCCGUCCUUAUAAAAAAUAAUCAUUUCUAAAUGACACGACUUUUAAUAAAAUAUUUUAAUAAAGUAGUUAAAUGUAUUGUGAGUAAAAUACUUAUCAAAAAUAAAUUGAAUAUAUUUUAUGAAAACAGAUGAAAAUGAUAAAUUGGAUACUUUUUAUGAGAACGGAGGAAGUACAAAAUACUAAUAUCACAAUUUUUUUGGAGAUGUACUUUAAAAACUCAAUAUUAAUUAUUCAUUUGUAAGUUUAUAUACAUUUCCCUCAAAAGAGUAAUUUUUUUUAUGUACAUACAAGCAUAUUAUUUAUGACUUAUGAGCAUAUAAAUCAUUUCCAUUUGAUAUUACAAAGAUACUAUAGAUCCAAUGAGAAUCUAUUAAAAUUUCCCACAGUUCACAAUUUGUAUGAAAAGUAUGUAUAGUAAAAUUUCAACAGUACAUAUGGAACAAAAUUCAGUAAUUUCCCCCCAAAAAAUGUAUAAGAAGAUGAAAGAAUACAAUGGCCUAACAAAAGGGUCAUUUUCCUCAACAAACCAGUGAACUCAGGGGAGAUGUUUAGGCCUUCUGGUGCUUGAACACCCUUCAGCAGUCCUAUCUACCACCAUCUGUGCGGUCUACGAGCGCGACGAGCUCGACGUUUUCGGAUUCAGCCGUUUCUUUGAUGUUGACAACAUCAUCAGGGAGAAGAGAGGAGUUGGGAUCUGCUCUAGGACCAAGAACAGCAGGAAGAGUGGGGCGAUCCUCAGCACGUUCCUGAUCAGAAUAGCGAGCCACAUGUUGUCGAACUCUGUCCGUGUAACGUUCAAGAGUGCAGCAGGAGACCUCCCAACCACGACGAGGUGAGGAGGCCGGCAUUGUCUAUUGACAUGAGCAGGGCAAAGAAGGUGCCUUCAAUCCCAGGUGGGCACAUCUUGGAGCUCAGAACAAGAAGUGGCAUCCAUUUCAAGCGCCCGAUCAUUUGGGACACGCUUGCAUCAGCCACCACGAAGAAUAAGUCGGGCACACCGAGCCUCAAGUUCCAGCGCAGCACCAGCGCCAGAUCCAGCAUUCCGGAGAGGCAGGAUAGGAUCUGAGCCCAGAAGAGCAGAUCCCGGAAGGGAUAGUCUUUUAGGCCGUAUUGGUAUAGGAUAGCCCCGAGGAGCG
rnacentral:lncRNA from 1 species